CGCCUCUGGGGCUGCCGCCAUGUCUCUAGUAAUCCCUGAGAAGUUCCAGCACAUCUGGCAAGUACUCAACACCAACAUCGAUGGGCGGCGGAAAAUUGCUUUUGCCAUCACUGCAAUUAAGGGUGUGGGGCAAAGAUAUGCUCAUGUGGUGUUGAGGAAGGCAGACAUCGACCUCACCAAGAGGGCAGGAGAGCUCACCGAGGAUGAGGUGGAACGUGUGAUCACCAUUAUACAGAAUCCACGCCAAUACACGAUCCCAUGUGAAGGACGGAAAAUACAGCCAGGUCCUGGCCAACGGUCUAGACAGCAAACUCCGUGAAGACCUGGAGCGACUGAAGAAGAUUCGGGCCCACGGGGCUGCGCCACUUCUGGGGACUUCGCGUCAGAGGCCAGCACACCAAGACCAUAGGCCGCCGUGGUCGCACUGUGGGUGUGUCCAAGAAGAAACAAUGUGUGGGCAUUGUGUUAAUAAAUAGAUUAUGCAGUUAA